GACGUAGGGCGCGAGCGUUGUCCGGAUUUAUUGGGCGUAAAGAGCUCGUAGGCGGCUUGUCGCGUCAACUGUGAAAACCCGUGGCUCAACCAUGUGGUCUGCAGCCGAUACGGGCAGGCUAGAGUUCGGUAGGGGAGACUGGAAUUCCUGGUGUAGCGGUGAAAUGCGCAGAUAUCAGGAGGAACACCGGUGGCGAAGGCGGGUCUCUGGGCAGUAACUGACGCUGAGGAGCGAAAGCGUGGGGAGCGAACAGG
rnacentral:rRNA from 1 species